AUAUUGCACAAUGGGGGAAACCCUGAUGCAGCCAUGCCGCGUGUGUGAAGAAGGCCUUCGGGUUGUAAAGCACUUUCAGUAGGGAGGAAAGGUAAUAGUUUAAUACGCUAUUACUGUGACGUUACCUACAGAAGAAGGACAGGCUAACUCCGUGUCAGCAGCCGCGGUAAUACGGAGGGGCCGAUCGUUAAUCGGAAUUACCGGGCGUAAAGCGUGCGCAGGCGGUUUGUUAAGCGAGAUGUGAAAGCCCCGGGCUCAACCUGGGAAUUGCAUUUCGAACUGGCGAACUAGAGUCUUGUAGAGGGGGGUAGGAUUCCAGGUGUAGCGGUGAAAUGCGUAGAGAUCUGGAGGAAUACCGGUGGCGAAGGCGGCCCCCUGGACAAAGACUGACGCUCAGGCACGAAAGCGUGGGGAGCAAACAG
rnacentral:rRNA from 1 species